CCUACGGGCGGCAGCAGUGAGGAAUAUUGGUCAAUGGACGAGAGUCUGAACCAGCCAAGUAGCGUGAAGGAUGACUGCCCUAUGGGUUGUAAACUUCUUUUAUAAAGGAAUAAAGCGAGGCACGUGUGCCUUUUUGCAUGUACCUUAAGAAUAAGGAUCGGCUAACUCCGUGCCAGCAGCCGCGGUAAUCCGGAGGAUUCGAGCGUUAUCCGGAUUUAUUGGGUUUAAAGGGAGCGUAGAUGGGUUGUUAAGUCAGUGGUUAAAGUUUGCGGCUCAACCGUCAAAUUGCAGUUGAUACUGGCAGUCGUGAGUACAGUUGAGGUAGGCGGAAUUCGUGGUGUAGCGGUGAAAUGCAUAGAUAUCACGCAGAACCCCGAUUGCGAAGGCAGCUUACUAAACUGUGACUGACGUUGAGGCACGAAAGUGUGGGGAUCGAACAGGAUUAGAUACCCUAGUAGUC
rnacentral:rRNA from 1 species